CACGUAAGGAGCGAGCGUUGUUCGGAAUUAUUGGGCGUAAAGGGCUUGUAGGCGGUUGUCUAAGUCUGGAGUAAAAGGCCACAGCUUAACUGUGGAAAUGCUCUGGAAACUGGACGACUGGAAUUAGUGAGGGGAAACUGGAAUUCCUGGUGUAGGGGUGAAAUCUGUUGAUAUCAGGAAGAACACCUGAGGCGAAGGCGAGUUUCUGGCACAUAAUUGACGCUGAUAAGCGAAAGCGUAGGUAGCGAACAGG
rnacentral:rRNA from 1 species